GAUGAACGCUGGCGGCGUGCCUAAUACAUGCAAGUCGAGCGAACGGACGAGAAGCUUGCUUCUCUGAUGUUAGCGGCGGACGGGUGAGUAACACGUGGAUAACCUACCUAUAAGACUGGGAUAACUUCGGGAAACCUGAUCUAAUACCGGAUGAUAUUUUGAACCGCAUGGUUCAAAAGUGAAAGCCGUUCUUGCUGUCACUUAUAGAUGGAUCCUCGCUGCAUUAGCUAGUUGGUAAGGUAACGGCUUACCAAGGCAACGAUGCAUAGCCGACCUGAGAGGAUGAUCGGCCACACUGGAACUGAGACACGGUCCAGACUCCUACGGGAGGCAGCAGUAGGGAAUAUUCCGCAAUGGGCGAAAGCCUGACGGAGCAACGCCGCGUGAGUGAUGAAGGUCUUCGGAUCGUAAAGCUCUGUUAUUAGGGAAGAACAUAUGUGUAAGUAACUGUGCACAUCUUGACGGUACCUAAUGAGAAAGCCACGGCUAACUACGUG
rnacentral:rRNA from 1 species